UUACAAGGGUUAGCAAAUUUUCCUCUUUCUUUCGAUCCACAACAAAUCUAGAAAAAAUCCAUAGCCGGAGUUCUCUUCACAGAUCCAGCUUAAUCGUUAGUUUUUUUUCUAAAUCAAAACCUUAAAAACCUAAUUAUCUUCUCGCUAUAAUUUAUCACGUUUCGAUUACCGUUUUCGAAGGGGCGGAUGUAUGCACAGACUUCCCCUGCUUGGGUCUAUUGAAAUCAGCAGUUUCUCUCACCUGUAAUCAUUUGUUUUGUGAAGGUUCAAUUCCAACAGAGGCUUGAGGCGGAGUUGCAACUCAAAAAUCUUAAGCUGGCCAAAUCUAGGAUUUCGCUACAACAAGCGAAGGAAUAGGAGUUUAGGGAGGGGAUAAAAACACGGCAUAUUCCCAUAGCUUGGCAGAUAAUUGCAGGCGAAGAAAUACCAUUUCGAAGUUGGUUGUGGAGAAUAAAGAUUGUUUUGAUCAGGAAAUAAUUAAAAGAGAGAUUAGGCAUUUUUAUAUGUCGGAAGGCGUAGCUUAGACCCUCGCUUGAUUCCUUAGAGUUUGCUCAGUUAAGUCUAUGCAGCGGUGGUCAACUAUAGCAAAAAUGGUUGUGAAUAAUAUUUGGAAGAAGAUCAAUUGAUGCGCUCUUUAGGAGGAAGAACAGUCGCAUUUAGUGCAAAAAGUGCGUACACAACAUUGUUAGCUCAAGCAACAGUGGUGGAGAAACAAGUCUGUAAUAUAGUUUGGGCGAAAGAUGUACCUCCCUUUUUUUGUAUGGGCUGGCAAGGUUCUCUGCCUACUCUUGAUGUCCUCAACUCGAUGGGUUUUCAAGUUGAGAAUACAAUGCAUGUGCAAGCUAUGUAAAAUGGAGCAGGAGACUUUGUUCAUAUAAGUUCAAUGGUUGCUUAGCGUGGAGCAGGAGACUUUUCAUGGACAGUAUGGGUUUUCUUUAUGCGGGCGUGCAAGAUGAAAUGGUUGCUUAGCUUCGAGAUGAAUAAGUUCAAUGGUAAAGACUAUAAAUUUGCAUAUUACUACCAUAUGCAAUUAUGUGGUCUUUAUAGAAAGAACGGAACAUGAGAGUCUAUGACGGAAAGAGGAAGACUUCAUGCAUGGAGAGCUCUAAAGCUACUAACCCUCAAGUAGCAGCCGAUGAUGAAGACAUGGAUCCUACUGUCUUGUCUGUAGCAUCAUACAUCAACUGUAGGCGUCCAAGAAAUGCAGUUGCAAGAAUGGCUGCUAGCCCUAACUAUGCAACCAAAACUAGUAAAACACUAGAAGAGGACACAUCAAAUGCCCAACUAUAUUUUAAUUAAAGUUUCUUAACAGAGCAGUAACAAACAAACCUGCUCAUCCACUACCACCUUAGAACAGAUAGAGGGGUAAAAAUAGUCUUCAGAGUCCUUUUCAGUUCCAAUUUUUGCUUGUACAAUCAUGUAAUUGUUCCAUUUGCGAGAAGGGAUACCUUGUUGGUGCUUGAGAGACCAUGGAUUGUAUCAUGUGUGGUUUGAAGGAUAUAUGGCCUAACUUCAAUCGGGAAAAAUGCAACAAUGCUGUAUUGAAGUACGUCCCGAAAAGACAGGUCUGUUGUUCUGGGGUUAUGCAGCUGAUUAUUCUACCAUGAUUUUUUAUAAUCUUGAGGUUAUUCAAGGAAGUUAUGCGAAAUCAAUUGCACCAUUGUGGCAUAGUUAGGGUGGAUCAAUGAUUUCUGAGCACCAGAUUUACAAGAUGAAGGCAAUGCCUUGCAUUGAUAGUGAAGGUGCCAGCUUCGAUGUUGAAUCUCACAUUGCGGAAAAAAGAUUAUUUCACGAGCUGGUUUAACCAUGCCUGUAUUUCGGCUUAAUGUCUUCUGAUUUAGUGUUCUUGUUUUGUACUGUUAGGGUUUGAGUAUUAUUUUUAGUCUGGUUUGUGUGUAUUAUUGUACAGUUUUGGUGUUAUGAAUCUUUCAACCAACUGUAUCCAAUUUUUCUGGAUAUA